UUGAUCCUGGCUCAGGAUGAACGCUGGCGGCAUGCCUAAGACAUGCAAGUCGAACGAGGUGGCCCAAAGAAGAUUGAGUGCUUGCACAAGAUUGGACUUGGAUUACCACCUAGUGGCGGACGGGUGAGUAACACGUAGGUGACCUACCUUUGAGUUUGGGAUAACUAUUAGAAAUGAUAGCUAAUACCGAAUUAAAUGCAGAUUCGUUUCUGCAUUAAAAGGAGCCUUUAAAGCUUCGCUUAAAGAUGGGCCUGCGGCGUAUUAGCUAGUUGGUGAGGUAAUGGCUUACCAAGGCGACGAUGCGUAGCCGAACUGAGAGGUUGAUCGGCCACAUUGGGACUGAGACACGGCCCAAACUCCUACGGGAGACAGCAGUUAGGAAUAUUCGUCAAUGGGGGAAACCCUGAACGAGCAAUGCCGCGUGAACGAUGAAGGCCCUAUGGGUUGUAAAGUUCUGUUGCAUGGGACGAACGAUUAGGAUAGGAAAUGAUCUUAAUGUGACGGUACCAUGCCAGAAAGCUCCGGCUAACUACGUGCCAGCAGCCGCGGUAAUACGUAGGGAGCAAGCGUUAUCCGGAUUUAUUGGGCGUAAAGGGUGCGUAGGCGGUUUGUUAAGUAUGAGAUUAAAGCCCGAGGCUUAACCUCGGUUCGUUUCAUAAACUGGCAGGCUUGAGUGUGGCAGAGGUAAACGGAAUUUCUAGUGUAGCGGUUAAAUGCGUAGAUAUUAGAAGGAACACCAGUGGCGAAGGCGGUUUACUGGGCCAUAACUGACGCUGAGGCACGAAAGCGUGGGGAGCAAAUAGGAUUAGAUACCCUAGUAGUCCACGCCGUAAACGAUGAGUACUAAGUGUUGGGGCAACCCAGUGCUGAAGUUAACACAUUAAGUACUCCGCCUGAGUAGUACGGUCGCAAGGCUGAAACUCAAAUGAAUUGACGGAAGGGCGAA
rnacentral:rRNA from 1 species